rnacentral:misc_RNA from 1 species
AAAAAAAAAAAAAAAAAACCAUUUCAAUUAAAAGACACAACAUCCAAAUUCACAGGGUAAAUUUGUAAUUCACAUCCCCCAAAAUCAAUUUCACAAACACUGUUCCCGGAAUACUCACUUUUAUAUUAUAGUAUAUUAAUAUAUUAAUGAGUGCAAAUUCAAGCUCAAAUUCAAGAUCCUUGAUGAUAAUAUGACAAUAAGUAUUUAUUUCAUCGAAGGAAGCUUCUUAUCGUUUCACUAGUUAACCAAACUAUGCUGAAAAAAAAAAUGCAACUGAAAAAAUGCCCAUGCUUGAAAAUUUAAGCUUUCUGUGUCACAUCCUUAAGCUUACCAACUACCAGAAGAAUUCAGUGGCAAGAACAGAAUUAUCCCAUGAAAUGUGUGACAAGAUAUUGUUCUGCAGUAUUAACUCGUUACAACUGAUGCUUUUUCCUUUCCAAAUAAGAAUGGUUUCUCUGGAAGUUUAAUACUGCCCACACCAAGUGCCAUAAACCAAUUUCCGGCCACAAUGCAUCUGGAGAAUAUAACAGGCACUCACUAGACUGCCAAAGUAAGAAAUUACUCAGGCGGGACUCUCCAGAACUUCGAAUAAGGAUGUCAGGUUCAGGAGCUACUGCCAUGUACAUCUGUUUCUCAAUGUCUACUAGCUUUACAAUAGAACACUCUCCCUGCAUAUUCUUGUUCCCUUCGGAUGGAGUCACACCACUGCCAGUUCUAUUUUCCAUCACUGCUUGAUAGUUAUCCCAUUUAUCUUCAUAGGAUCCUCGGACAGCACGAACAACCAUGCCAUUUUUGUUGCCACCCCCUUCAACUCCUCUAGCCAGACAACUGCAGGUUACACUUGCUAUUGUUGCUUGAGAUUCACCUGCUUCAUCUUUCUGGGAUUCUAAAAAAACAAAUGGGAUGACUCCAUUAACCUUCUUAUUAUCCUCUACUUCUUCAAUGGCAUCAUUAUUAGCUUUACAAAAGCUCAAUGGUUGAAUUUCCUCCUGUUUAUUUUUACAUGAACCUUGAACAGCAUGUACAAUCUCAUCACGUGACGUAUAGGCUACGCAGAUUAAAAGGGUACAAUUGGUGUUUUUGGCAGUAGCUCUCAUAACCUUUUCUGCUGCAAUCCUCACAGGUUCACUCAAAAGUUUCAAAUUACCUAUAAAAUAUACUCUGAUUCCAUAUUGGUUCACAAUGCUUUCGUCCCUCAGCAAAUCCUCAAUCUUUUCUAGCAUCAGAUCCAUCAGGUCCUUAACUUCAUCAGGACUCCUUUUGAAAUUAUCAAUGCUAAAGGCGUAAAUUGUUACAUACUUCACUCCCAAUUCAUAGCAGUACUUAAGUAUGGAUAUAAGAGCUAAGAAUCCAGCCCUAUGACCUGCCCCUUUUUUCAUGUUCUCCUUCUUAGCAUACCUCCGGUUUCCAUCCAUUAUGAAGGCAAAAUGAUUGGGGAUGGGUCCCAUGGAUAACACACGAAAUAUGCAAAUUCUAAUAAAACUACCCAAAUUUCCAAACAGCUCACUCACUCUACUACUGCUAUGUUUUUCCAUUUAUUAAAACCAAAAUUGCUAGCGCCAAGCUGACCUGUUUAAGAGAAACAGAAAAUGAAACAAUUGAUAUUAGUGGACUCAGUUCCUCUAGAUUCACUGGAGAAUCAAUAAAGACCUUAUACAUGCACUAUACAGAAAAACAUGGAAGCAAUCACAUGACAUUAUGAAAGUUCUCACAUGAAAAUAUGAACAUAGUCAGAUGAAAAUCAUAAAAUUGCUCCAAUGUGCAAGAGCUCAUAUGUAAGUAUGGAAGUAGCUAACUGCUUCCAAUUGCAAUGUUAAGCUUUUAGAAUUAUGUGCUUUGUUCUAUAAAAACCAACAAAAUGAAUAACUAAUCCUCUGAGUCAAUGGGUCAUAAAAUUGGCAAUAGCUAGUGUAUUAUAAAUUAUAAGUAGAUUAUGGAUAGAUCAAUUAGGCAAACUCGACCCAAGUAACCAACAGUGAAGAUGGCCCAAUUAACACGAUAGUCAACCACCAAUCUAAAGCUACAUCACUUAAAAUAAAAACUUCCAAAAAUAAAAUAUAUUGUACGGAUGAGAUCUCAAAGGUGAGGGAAAAAAAAAAAAAG